CUCUUUGUGCUCAUGCUUGCUUGUUUUUACCUUAUUUCGUCAAAUGCAGGCUAUGCAGUUCUUGUUUCAAGGCUCAACAAUCUCCCUAAUAUAAGAAGAGAAAUUGUAGUAACCAGAAGAAUGCAACAGUAUAUAUUAAACGAUAAAAUGGAGGACGAUUUUAUCAAGGGUAGGAUGGAUUUUGAGAGAAACGAUUAUGGACCACCGUCAGCUAAUCCAAUCCACACCCCACCACCACCUUGAUGAUGCCAAGUACACUGCAUAGUACACCUGUGUACAAUAAUAUGUCCAUAUGAUAUUGAUGGCAAUUUCGGAUCUAUACCUUCAAUUAAGAGGAGAGCUUCAUCAGCUAACAUCUAUCCAGUGUAAAGCUCCAUGUAAAGGGUUGGUCAGUUAGUAGGCUAAUUUCUGUAUUCUGUUACACAGAAAAGUCAGAACCUGGUGGUCAGUGUAAUAAACUUCUCAUCUAAUGCUAGAUCUUCUGCUUUAUAAUAA